rnacentral:rRNA from 1 species
GAUGAACACUGGCUGCCUGCCUAAUACAUGCUAGUCGAGCGAACACACCAGGAGCUUGCUCCUCUGACGUUAGCGACGGACGGGCUGAGCUGCACGUGGAUAACCUGCCUAUAAGACUGGGAUAACUUCCGGAAACCGGAGCUAAUACCGGAUAAUAUAGUGAACCGCACGGUUCAAUAGGGAAAGACUGAUUUGCUGUCACUUAUACAUGGAUCCGCGCCGCAUUAGCUAGUUGGUCACGAAACGGCUUACCAAGGCGACGAUGCGUAACCAACCUGAUAGGGUGAUCGGCCACACUGGAACUGAGACACGGUACACACUCCUACGGGAGGCAUGCGUCAGGAAUCUUCCGCACUGGGCGAAAACUUGACCGAUCCACCCCUCCUGAGUGAUGAAAGUCCUCGGAUCGUACAACUCUGUUAAUAGGGAAAAACCAAUGUGUCAGUCACUAUGGACGUCCUGACGGUACCUCAUCAAAAAGCCACCGUUAAGUACGUGUCACCAGGCGCGGUAAUACAUAGGUGGGCAGCGUUAUCCGGAACUAUUGUGCGUACACCGCGCCUAGGCGGCUUUUUAAAUCUGAUGUGAAAGCCCACGGCCCUUUCUUGGAGGGUCAUUGGAAACUGGACAACUUGAGAUGCGCAAUAGGAAAGAGUAAUUCCCUGUGUAUCGCUGAAAUGCGCACAGAUAUGGAGGAACACCCCUGGCGAAAGCGACUUUCUGGUCUGUAACUGACACUCAUGUGCGAAAGCGUGUGGAUCAAACAGGAUUAUAUACCCUGUUACUCCACGCCGUAAAGGAUGAGUGCUCAAUGUUAGGGGGUUUCCGCCCCUAUAUUGCUGGUCCUAACGCAUUAAGCAAUCUCGCGGGGGGAGUUCGCCCGCAAGGUUGAAACUCAAAGGAAUUGACUGGGACCCGCACAAGCGGUGGAGCAUGUGCUUUAAUUAGAAGCAACGUGAAGAACCUUACCUAAUCUUGACAUCCUGUGAUCCCUCUAGAGAUAGAGGUUUCCCCUUCGGGGGACAGAGUCACAGGUGGUGCAUGGUUGUCGUCAGCUCGUGUCGUGAGAUGUUGGGUUAAUUCCCGCAACGAGCGCAACCCUUCAAGCUUAGUUGCCAUCAUUAAGUUGGGCACUUUAAGUUGCCUGCCGGCGCCAACCCGGAGGAAGGUGGGGAGGUCGUCAAAUCAUCAUGCCCUUUACGAUUCGGGCUACACACGUGGUUCAAUGGACAAUACAAAGGCCAGCGAACCCGCGAGGUCAAGCAAAUCCCACAAAGCAGUCCUCAGUUCGGAUUGUAGUCUGCAACUGGAUUACAUGAAGCCGGAACCGCUAGUAAUGGUAGAUCAGCAUGAUACGGGAACAAGAUGGCCGGCCCU